GAUGGGCUGGGCGAGGCUCCCUUCUGGCCUUGACAAUCAUCUCCCGGGACGGCGCAUGCGGCGGGAGGGAUGGAGCAGCUAGGUGUCUCCCGCCCCGCAGAAACCUCGGAGUGGGGGAGAAGGGAGCCCGCCGGUCCCGGGUGAAUGUCCACCCUCGCUUUCUGGAUACCCACUUAACCUCUGGGAUGGUCGCCAUCAGCGUUCUUUUAUUCUAGAGGGAUUAAGAAAGACUGGACAACUUGAUAAAGGAUAUGGAUCAAAAGGGAUUAGAAGCCUCUAAGACCCGGUCCAAAUGCGGGCUCUACUGGUGACUUGCUAUGACCUUGGGCCUAAUGGUGGAGUCAUGUGGGUUUAGUCCCCUGGCUAAAGAACAUUAGUCAUGCCCACCAGUCUGGAAGCAAAGAACAGGCUGGCAGUUUUGCCCAGGCCACUUCGUGGUCAACCACUUGUCAUGAUGGUGUCUGCCACCAAUCUUUCCAAUUUCAAAACAAGCUGUAUUCUGGUUUAUUUUUUACAGGUGAGAAAAACACAGCUCGAUAAGAAUGAUAUAACCACAGACAAUUCUUUAUUGUACAUCAUUUUAGAAAAUAAAACCAAUAUUUGGGUACACUGGGGAAGGAGAAACUGGGUACUCAACAUAAAUAUUAAAAAACGGAGAAAAGUAUAUGUACAUGACUAAAGAAACACAGUUCUGAAGCAAAUUAUACAUAUAGUUCAAAGUCAUUUCUUCAGGCUGCCACAGGUCUACUUUAAAUGGUGUCCAUUGAUCCAGUUUUAGAAUUCCAUUUAGAGCCAUAUAAGUCUAUGUAAUUAUUUUGUGAACAUUCCUCAUUUUUAAACUUGCUGUCACU